rnacentral:rRNA from 1 species
GCCUAAAUCCUAGCCCUACCAACACUUCAACUUUACUCUCAUAAAAUAAAUCAUUCUCCCCAUUAAGUAACGGCGAUUAAAAAAUAAUUAGGAGCCAUAAAAAUAGUACCGCAAGGGAAAUAUGAAAUAAAAUGAAAAACCUAAAGCACACAACAGCAAAGCUUUAACCUUGUACCUUUUGCAUCAUGAUCCAGCUAGUCUAACCAAGCAAAACGCACUUAAAGUUUGACUCCCCGAAACUAAGCGAGCUACUCCAGAGCAACUAACAGAACCAACCCGUCCCUGUUGCAAAAGGGUGGGAAGACUUUAGAGUAGAAGUGACACACCUAUCGAGCUUAGAGAUAGCUGGUUAUUCAAGAAAAGGAUUUUAGUCCAUCUUUAAGCUUUUCAAGUAUCAUUAAACACCCAAUAAACUUAAAAGUUAUUCAAAUAAGGGACAGCCUAUUUGAAAAAGGAUACAACCUACAAUCUAGGGUAACGAACCCCCCCCCCGUGGCCAAGUCAGCCUAAAAGCAGCUAACUUCCAAAAAGCGUCCAAGCUUCACCACAAACCCUUAUUAAUUCCACAAUUAAUCCGUAACCCACAACCACUACCGAAUAAUCUCAUACUAUAUGAGAACUAUUAUGCUAGAACUAGUAACAAGAAGAAGAACUUCUCCAAAAUGUAAACGUAAGCCAAAAUGAACAUCCACCGGCAUUUACCGCCAAACAGUAUUAACAUUACAAGAAAAUUAUACUACAACUGACGUUAACCUUACACUAGAACAUUUCCAGAAAGAUUUAAAAAGGAGGAAGGAACUCGGCAAAUAUUAGCCCCGCCUGUUUACCAAAAACAUCGCCUCUUGACAAAAUAUAAGAGGUCUAGCCUGCCCGGUGACUCACGUUAAACGGCCGCGGUACCCUAACCGUGCGAAGGUAGCACAAUCACUUGUUCUUUAAAUUAGGACCAGUAUGAAUGGCCUCACGAGAGCUAUACUGUCUCCCCCCUUUAAUCAAUGAAACUGAUCCCCUCGUGAAGAAGCGAGGAUAAUCCUAUAAGACGAGAAGACCCCAUGGAGCUUUAAACUUAUGUCACUGACCCACAUAAACCAAUAAACUUGGACAAAUAUGACUACAAGUCUUUCGGCUGGGGCGACCACGGAGAAAAACUAAACCUCCAUGAUGAAAGGAGCAAUCCUAAUCAAAGAGCUACUGCUCAACGAAUCAAUAAACUGACACAUUGACCCAAACAUUUUGAUCAACGAACCAAGUUACCCUGGGGAUAACAGCGCAAUCCAUUUCAAGAGACCCCAUCAACAAAUGGGCUUACGACCUCGAUGUUGGAUCAGGGUAUCCCAGUGGUGCAGCCGCUACUAAAGGUUCGUUUGUUCAACGAUUAAAACCCUACGUGAUCUGAGUUCAGACCGGAGUAAUCCAGGUCAGUUUCUAUCUAUAAAGAGUUUUCCCUAGUACGAAAGGACCGAGAAAACAUGGCCAAUACCUUAACAAGCCAUAAUAACACUAAUGACCUCUACUUAAUUAGCAAGCUAUUAACUUUUUCAAGAUAAG